GACCAAAGGUGAAAACUUACGCAGGACCUCCCUCCCGGCUCCCAUUAUCCCUAGCUAGCCCGCGCUCAUCCCCUUCUACACCAGCAGCCGCCGCCCCCGCCCCGCACCCCUUGCCCUCCCUCCCUACCUUUUCCCAGCCGAGCGCCCCAUCCACCUAAUACAAAGGGCAACGCCGCGGCUGGGCAGUCCAGGAGGCGAGCGAGGCAGCGAGCAAAGUUUUUCAUGGAUCGAUCGAUACAUGUGUGAUUGUGUUUGCCUCUUCCUCAGCUGGCUGAUCGAGCGUCCUCUACGUGCCCUCCCUCAGCAGCUCGUCGCCGCAGGCAGGUAUCCACACGUGAUGCCUAUGUGCUGCACGCCAUUUCUCUAUGCAGGUGCCGCCAUGGCCGUGUCAUGGAGCUCGCCGCCGCGCCUUCCAACGACGCCCUGCGUCCAGGCAUGGCGAGGGCGCUCGAUGGCAGGAACGGCCGCAUCAAGGAGGCAGCUAGGGACGGUGGCUCCAGGGCUCUACACGCCGUUGCCAGCCACGGGAAGAUGUCGGUGUGUGUUUACCUGCUCGAGAAGCAUGUUCAACGAAAAUGUCAAUGAACCUUUGGCCAUAGCUUCUUCCUCUUCUCACAACAAGUGAGUUCUCUCUGCACUAGCAUUAGUGCUAUCAGUAAUCACCGCUCUAGAAUCCUGAAUAUAUUUCUAUAUGAUAUCCAGCCGGUAAUCGUGCAGGGUUUUGUCUAAAGUUUUUUCUUUUACAAUUUGCAAUGUACAAAGUUUGAAUAAACUGCUGGCAUCUAAUUUUCCAUCAUAUUAUAUUUUACGCAUAAGUUUUGUAUCUCCUUUCUAAUGAGUAAAUGGUGAAUAGAUCCUUUUUGUGAAUUAAACAUAAUUCAGAGAUGAUAAUGACUAUGUAGCUUGCAUUGCAUGCAUGUAUGGUGGUGUAUCUAUUGAGCUGGAGAAUAUUUUAGUAUUCAUUCACUUGCAGCGAUGGCAAUGACCAACACAGUUUUUUCGUUUUCUGUUUCGUUCCUACGUUCUGGUUGGUACCGGUGUAGAUUUUCUUCCUUAAUAAAAUACAUAGAAGUAGAUCGGAUUGGUCACAAAUAUCUUACUACUUCAGCAGCAGUUAUGUUUUUCCAACUGAAAUCAUUUUCCUUGCUAGGCACUAGCUAUACCUGAAAACAGGUAAGAGACAUGUUGUUGGCAACUCACCCUUAGUUACAGUUGAGGUACUUGCACAAAAGACGUGUGAAAAUGUUUGAUUUUAACAUUGUUUUACCAUAUGCUUUGAUUUCAUCGGGAAAGAGGAGAAGACGAGAGGAAAAGAGUCCCUAGGGGUAAGUAUGGCCGAGCACAACAGGUUGAAACAAAAAUACUGAGAUGGUGUUGAGAACAGAAAAUAGGAGAAAUACUCCAAUGUUUUACACAACAUGUUGUGACACAUGCACACGACAUAGAUAUUUUAAUCAAUAUCUCAUUUAAUGAACUAAUCAAGAAAGAAAAAAAUAGAUUGACUCAUGAUGACAAAUAUGUUCGUCUUGAUUUGUACUAUCAAUUUUUAUCGCAACACAGUCAUAAGUCGCAUGUGACGUUCACAUUGUGAAUUGAAAUGAUGUUUUGAUUAGUGUCUUAGUUUGUUGUUUCAUGGUAGCACGGGCAUUCACCUGUGUUAGUUUUUCAUCUUGAAUGAAAGUAACUUUGUGUUAUAAUUGAUUGAGCAUAUGAAUUUAUGAAGUAUUGGUUGUGUAUGCUAAUUCUGACAGAUGGAAUCCUUUGCUUUCUAGCAUCAUGCACUAAUAUCUCUAUCCCUAAUGUCUCAGUUGGUAGAAUAGCCUCCACGAAUUUUUUUUGUCCCACCACUUUCAUCUAUUUUUUUCUUUGGUUUUUUGUCCCCCACCCCACCCCACCCCAUGCAAGCACCCUCAAAAAACAACCCGCACAAACACCGCUCCUAUCGAUCCCUUGGACGCACGAGAUCGCCGCCGCCGACCUCACAGAGAAGAUGCCACCGAAUCUUGUACACGUACGGGAUCGCCGGAUCCCUGGAACGCCGCUGAUCUAUUCACUACGUCGACGGAAACCAAGCGCUACACUAGAAACCAGGCCGAUCCCAGAGCCAGAAGAAGAAGGAGAAGAGGGUGUCCAUGGCUCAUCAGGCGUCGGCGGGCAACGAUGACACGCGGCUGCGAAGGUGUUCGUGGAUGGCCUGGCGUGGAAGAUGAGCAAGGAGGGCGUGCGCGACCAGUUCGAGCUCUUCGGCGAGAUCCUCGAGGCCGUCGUCAUCGCCAACAAGGGCACCGACAUAUCCAAGGGCCGCGGAUUCCCCUGUUAGUUGAUGCUAUGCCUAGAUGGAUGUUUGGCAGGUUACGUUUUGGGAGGCGGAGGCGGCCAUUAGGGCGUGCUUGGGUCCGUACCGGUGAUUGACGACCGAAGGACCAACUACAACCUUGCCCGCCUCAGGGUCCAAAGGUCCAAGGCCCCACAACCAACUGCCUCUGCAUCCAUAUGCUGGUAAUUAAUUAAUUUGAUGUUUUGAUUGUUAGUCAUUGACCAUGACCAAGAAUCUGUCAAUUAAUUUGAUGCUUUAGUUAACUUGUAAUUUGCUGAAUUAUUAUUGGUUAAGCACCGUGCAUGUCUUCGUUUGAUUGUUAGUCGGUGACCAUUACCAAGAAGCUAGCUAGGUGUGCAUGCAUGCCACACACAUUAUCUGUUGUUGCAGUUUAAAAUCAUCUGCCAACUCUCUUUUCAAAUAAAAAAAAUCUGCCAACUUAAUUAAUCAAUCAUGUCGGAUUGUAGACGCGGUGACCAGACAAUGCAAAGUUCCUGUUUAGUUUGACAUAGUUAGUAGAAGGUUUAGUGUCAAUCUAGAUUUGCUAUGACUAAUUUGAAAACUAUACUGGUGUUAUAGAUUUGCUAGGACUAAUUAAUCUGUAUGCACGGCUAUUGCUCUUUUGAUGUUUUUCACUGUCGAGAUUACGCUUUUAGAAAAUGUGUUUGUUUUGUUUUGUGUUAAGCUACAACAAAAUAUGAUUUGAUUCCACUCUGGACAAUCUUCAAAGAGAUGCUAAUUCUCCAUGAUUAUUAACUUGACGUCUGAAAUUAAGUUUGCCUGUCCUAUUGUGGUUUAUUUCAGUUAUGUGUGGUAAUUGCAGCAAUCAAGUUACCAAAUCUGAAGCAUUUUAGCAAGGCAACGGUACAUGUGCUCUUUUGGUGGAAGA